rnacentral:rRNA from 1 species
GAUGAACGCUAGCGAUAGGCUUGACACAUGCAAGUCGAGGGGCAGCAUAAAUGUAGCAAUACAUUGGUGGCGACCGGCGCACGGGUGAGUAACGCGUAUGCAACCUACCCAUAACAGGGGGAUAACACGGCGAAAGUCGUGCUAAUACCGCAUAACACAGGGGUCCCGCAUGGGAAUAUUUGUUGAAGAUUUAUUGGUUAUGGAUGGGCAUGCGUUCCAUUAGGUAGUUGGUAAGGUAAUGGCUUACCAAGCCAUCGAUGGAUAGGGGUUCUGAGAGGAAGGUCCCCCACACUGGUACUGAGACACGGACCAGACUCCUACGGGAGGCAGCAGUGAGGAAUAUUGGUCAAUGGGCGAGAGCCUGAACCAGCCAAAUCGCGUGAAGGAUGACGGUAUUAUGUAUUGUAAACUUCUUUUAUUAGGGAAUAAAGUGCAGGACGUGUCCUGUUUUGUAUGUACCUAACGAAUAAGCAUCGGCUAACUCCGUGCCAGCAGCCGCGGUAA